rnacentral:rRNA from 1 species
GACGAACCGUACGAACGUUAUUCGGAAUCACUGGGCUUAAAGGGUGCGUAGGUGGCCAGGUAAGUUCGGUGUGAAAGCUCGGAGCUUAACUCCGAAAUGUCAUUGAAUACUAUCUGGCUGGAGGGUCGGAGGGGAGACUGGAAUUCUCGGUGUAGCAGUGAAAUGCGUAGAUAUCGAGAGGAACACCAGUGGCGAAGGCGAGUCUCUAGACGACUCCUGACACUGAGGCACGAAAGCUAGGGGAGCAAACAGG